rnacentral:piRNA from 1 species
UAAAACCAUCACAAUGGGGGUGCCCUCUC